UUCCAGCUCCAGAAGCGUAUGCUAACGUUGUUGUGAUUAAAAAGCUCGUAGUUGAAAUUCUGGCGAGGUUGACCGGCCGCUUGGGUUGAAUGACCCUUGUCUGGCUGUUUGUCGACCAUGCCAUCCUUCCCUGUUCGCAUUAGAAUGGGGAUCGUUUACUGUAAGCAAAAUAGAGUGUUUCAAGCAGGCCGUAACUGGCCGGUAUAUUUCUUAUGGGAUAAUGAGAUAGGAUUUGCGUGCUAUUUCGUUGGUUUGUACACGCAAGUAAUGAUUAAGAGGAACAGUUGGGGGUAUUCGUAUUUACCAGCUAGAGGUGAAAUUCUUGGAUUUGGGAAAGACGAACAACUGCGAAGGCAUUUAUCAAAGAUGUUUUCAUUG
rnacentral:rRNA from 1 species